CUGUGACUCACUGCUGGCUGAGGUUCUGCAGGUGGGUUUCUUGGGAGUUCCUCAGCAGAGCCCAGGCUGCUGGAUGGAGCCACUGGGUCCCUGGAGAAAUGGCAGUGUGCACUGUCUCCUCACCUUGGUGCCAAAGGAGGAGGGACCACUAUCACCCUGAAUUCCUGCACUUUCCUGCUAUUGGGCAUGGAAAACAGGAAUACCUACCAUCCAAAAAGACAGCAGGAGAGACAAACAAUAUCCAGUGGAGGAAGGAUGACUUGAUAAUAAACCCUGUCUAUACCUUCACCACAAAACGGGAGAGGAAAUGAGAUGUCAGCAAAAAUGCAUAGUGUGACACAAUCACAUUUAGCAGUAUUCUUAGCAGUGGCUUAAAGCCUCUUACUAAUGUGUUAUUGUAAAUGCCCAUAUCUCUGAAGAAGUUGGGACAGUUACAAAUGGCUAAGUUCAUCCAGGAUGCUUCUCCUCAAGAGCGAUGGUGUCCACUGAGACCCAAGUCAUCUCUGGUGUGUUGAUUUACACUCUAAUGCAAUUUGAACUUCACCUUCAGGCUGAGAUAGUAGUAUGCAGGAUUUUACAACACUGAGAAGCUAUUGUGUGCUUUACUUUGAAAAAUUCUAUCCAAAUGGUGUAUUUGUCUUAACAAGAUGUCCACAUUUCCAUCAGUUGUUCCAAAUUUCCAAGUCAGCCUUCGUGGUGGCUCUGCUGGCACAAAAUUGAGAUCCUGUUCUCAGUCUGCAUAGGUCUGGGCUUUAUUCCAGCAUCUAGCAAGAGGAUCGAUACACUCCAUAACUACCUUCUAUGCACUCAUACUCUGGGGAUAUCUGAACCCCCAGCAGAUCCAUAUUGCCUUCUUCUAUCUUACAAGCUCAGCUGGAUUGUUCUGAAACCACAUGCAGGUGGCUCCUAAUUUUAAUAUCCUCUAUACAAUGGCUAUCAUGAUGUGUAUGAGAGAGAAAAUCCCACUUCCCUCUGAUUCAAUGAGCAUCUGAUGGGUUUCUGAGCAGCCGUGAAUGUGCAGUGCUACAGAGGAAGAAGCUGAGCAGCUGCAAGUCUUCAGGUGUUUUUGCAGGAAGGGAUGAGAGUCUGGGAAUAUGGGACAUUUGGAGGAAGUCUUACUUGUCUUAUAAUGGGGCUAUAGGCUUUUUUGCCAUGUUGUUAGCUAGGUGGACCCUGCAUUCAGGGCUAAAACAUUGCACAUUGGAGGCCUCUUCCAAAAGACUAUAGUAGUCUUAGACCUGGUGCAAAGUAGCUUGUGGAGAGUAAAGGACAUUUUCAUAGGUUAUUGAUAGGAGUUUCAAGACCACACUUCAGUGUUUUCUGUCAUACCUCUCAGUGCUAUGUAGAUUCUGUACUUGCCCCUGUAUAUUUCCUCCCUCAAAGAGGGCCCAGUGUGGAAAAAAUGAAGCUUCCAUUUACUGGCCAACCUAGAUGUGCCGUCAGGCCCGUGAAAUCCUUUCUGCUAAAUGUGGCCUCACAGUUGCUCAGGGCUCAGAAAAGUGAAGCUAGAUCCAUGGAAGCCUUAUCUCUCAGGGUACCUGAAUAUAAGGCCAAGGUGCAUUGGUUUAUUAACCUCUGCUGUGUCAUCUGGAUGUGCUACAACAUCUAAAAAGGCUUCAAAUGUAUUUUUGAAAACAGUGUGGAACAAAAAAAAAAAAAAUCUUCCUGUGACAUCUUCCAACAGCACUUAAAACUUCCAUUAAUAUUAUGAAUUAAUUCAGCACAUAAUCUGCUGCUGAAUCAAAACUUCCAGCACUGUAUUCCAACUGCAUUAAAAGCUGUAUUUCCAUUAAUGUGAAGAAUGAAUCCAGCAUAUAAUAUAUUGCUGAAUCAGAAUUUAUGCAACAGGUUAGUUAAGAGGCUACAGUCAACUCCUAUAACUCAAAUACCUGAAGACUGACCUAAUGCUACAGCCACUGCAAUUAAAAAGCCAGCAGUAGAUAUGAAAAGUACAUCUAUCUGUGGAGGAAAAUCUAUUUCUCUGAACAGUGAUUUGAACAGGAAGUGAAGAGGUUGGAAAAAUAGGUUUUGAAAGUCAAACAGUCACCUCUUUGAUAAAACAGGCUACUAUAGCAGCCUGAUUUCUUGGGAAGAUGUCAGAGCAUGUAAAAAAUUUAGUGUUUCUGUUUAAAAUUUUAGUAUCAUCUUAUUUUGUUUCUUCAAGGAAGCAUACAAGAGAAAGUGCAAUAAAAGUUUGAAAAAAUAUAAGAAGUUUGAAAGAUAAUACAGUAAUUUGCUCACAUUUUUUCAAAAAUUGC